GUUACGACUUAUCUCUAGAGAGAGUGACGGAAUAUGAACAUUAACUAAAACCUUUUCGACUUUAUUCCUACGAUUUUAUAAUUUUUAAAAACUAUUUCAAGAAAAAAACUAUGUGAUAUUUGUAAAAUUUAGUUUAUUAACUAUUUUUCUAAACCAUACAUAAGUUAAAUAUAAAUAAAAUUGAGGAUUAUCAAAAUCUCAAAAUUCUCUAAGAUAGUUAACUAAUUUAGUUUUUCAAUACUACUUAAAAAUAGAUUCAUAAUUGGAUACUACCCCAAGUUUGUAAUUAAUUGUUUAUAAAAUUUUAAUUUUUUCUUUCAACAGAAAUUUAAAAUUUUUAUAUGUAAUUUAAAAAUUUAAUUUAAUUCAAAGUAUAACCGCA
rnacentral:rRNA from 1 species